UACGGAGGGGACUAGCGUUGUUCGGAAUUACUGGGUGUAAAGCGCACGUAGGCGGAUUUGUAAGUCAGGGGUGAAAUCCCGGGGCUCAACCUCGGAACUGCCUUUGAUACUGCAAAUCUCGAGUCCGGAAGAGGUGAGUGGAAUUCCUAGUGUAGAGGUGAAAUUCGUAGAUAUUAGGAAGAACACCAGUGGCGAAGGCGGCUCACUGGUCCGGUACUGACGCUGAGGUGCGAAAGCGUGGGGAGCAAACAGG
rnacentral:rRNA from 1 species